AAAAUUCCCGAGGAUGGGGUAAUUGAGUAGUUUCGUUUCCUCAGUUUACAGGUGAUUGACAUGCUCAAUAAAUUAACCCUAGACAACAAGUUCAUUAACCAAAUCUAAGUGCCACCGCAAUAAAGACCCUCAAGUUAACCUAGUCCCAGACUCAAUCACCAUUGACGAGAGCUAACCUAACAGGCAUUACGAAUCAACAAGUUAAAGCCAAAACGCUCCCUGCAACCAAUACCUUGGUACAGGGCCACAAAUCUCUGGAAUUAGUGGUUCAGACAUUUUAUCGAACACCUUUUGGGCACGGAAAUGUCUGGGCUCAAAUUCCAGUUGAUCAGAAAGCAAUAGGCAUUAAGAACAACUAAUCCAGAAGGGAUCUAUCAAUCAAUACUCAAUCACCUAGCAUACUAUGAAUUCUACACUACUCUAACCCAUCCUCGGAAACCUAUUCACUACUCAAACAUCAUAACAAAAAGCAUAAAUGUUGAACAGGUUGAAGACAUGAUAACAGUAGUGUAACAGCAGGAUGAUAUAGGAAUGAACAACAGUAAACGAAAAUCAAGAACAAAAGCUGAAUACUAAAUACUGAAUAGAUAAAGAGAAAUCCGGAUUACAAAAGGUCUAGAACACAAGGUCUGCGGAAUAAAACUAGAUAAAAACUUCUUGUCUGCGCAAAUGUGAAGUACAUGCUACUUAUAGCCAAAUAUUUCGAAACCCUAAUACUCAAAACGACGAAGUAUCAGGACGGAUUAAGAACUGUACUCGACCCAUGUGGUCGAGUGGGAGGUCGAGUGCGAGGUCGAGUGAAUAGCUGGAGUCUUCUUUUCUUCCUUGUGCUCGAGUGUCUAGUUGAGUGCAGAAUGAAGAAGACUCUGAAGCUUGCAAUCGAGUAUGUAGUCGAGUGGUGGUGAUGGUAAUACUCCACUUCAAGGUUGAGUGAUGUGGUCGAGUAGUGGUCUGGUAAUGGAGGUGAAGACACUCGACCUCGUGGUCGAGUGAUGUGAUCGAGUGGUGGUCAGAAGAUGGAGAUGAAGUCACUCGACCAAGGGGGUCGAGUGAUGUGAUCGAGUGGUGGUGUCUUCUACUCGACCUGGGGGUCGAGUGGUCUCUUCAGAUCUUGAAGCUCCUACUCGACCUCUAGGUCGAGUGGUUUGUCAUGAUCAGGUCCGCUUCUUCCAGUUAGCUCGUCGACAGCUCCAAAUCACCUAAAAACAACACAAAUAUGCAACAUGCAUGCAAAACUAUCCUAAACAUGCAAAGUGAUGACAAAUGAUGUGAAAUGGUAUAAAACAGUGAUGAUAUGAUGCC
rnacentral:sRNA from 1 species